rnacentral:rRNA from 1 species
UUAGUGGAAGCGUCUGGAAAGGCGCGCGAUACAGGGUGACAGCCCCGUACACAAAAGCGCAUGUGCUGUGAGCUCGAUGAGUAGGGCGGGACACGUGGUAUCCUGUCUGAAUAUGGGGGGACCAUCCUCCAAGGCUAAAUACUCCUGACUGACCGAUAGUGAACCAGUACCGUGAGGGAAAGGCGAAAAGAACCCCGGCGAGGGGAGUGAAAAAGAACCUGAAACCGUGUACGUACAAGCAGUGGGAGCCCCACCACCAAAGCAUUCUCUGGUGUUGAAGGCCCUGCAAAGCAGCAUCGCGGUGGCGGAGCGUCGUUUGCGACGCCCAACACACAAAACAAGCGGUGAGUGCUUUGGGGUGGGGUGACUGCGUACCUUUUGUAUAAUGGGUCAGCGACUUAUAUUCUGUAGCAAGGUUAACCGAAUAGGGGAGCCGGAGGGAAACCGAGUCUUAAUUGGGCGUUAAGUUGCAGGGUAUAGACCCGAAACCCGGUGAUCUAGCCAUGGGCAGGUUGAAGGUUGGGUAACACUAACUGGAGGACCGAACCGACUAAUGUUGAAAAAUUAGCGGAUGACCUGUGGCUGGGGGUGAAAGGCCAAUCAAACCGGGAGAUAGCUGGUUCUCCCCGAAAGCUAUUUAGGUAGCGCCUCGUGAAUUCAUCUCCGGGGGUAGAGCACUGUUUCGGCUAGGGGGCCAUCCCGGCUU